rnacentral:siRNA from 1 species
AUACAAGAAAGAUGUGCAUAGUA